rnacentral:misc_RNA from 1 species
AACGCACGAGACCUGCGGACCUGCGGAGGGAUCAUUCACAAUAAGUGUUUUAUGGCACUUUAAUUCCAUAUCCACCUUGUGUGCAACGUAGUUCGUUUUUCGAACAAAACAUCAACAUUUUAAUUAUCAACAGAUCGUCUGAAGUAUUAUAUGAAUAAAUCAAUUCAAAAUACAACUUUCAACAACGGAUCUCU